rnacentral:rRNA from 1 species
UGGGGAAUAUUGCACAAUGGGCGCAAGCCUGAUGCAGCCAUGCCGCGUGUGUGAAGAAGGCCUUCGGGUUGUAAAGCACUUUCAGCGGGGAGGAAGGCGAUAAGGUUAAUAACCUUGUCGAUUGACGUUACCCGCAGAAGAAGCACCGGCUAACUCCGUGCCAGCAGCCGCGGUAAUACGGAGGGUGCAAGCGUUAAUCGGAAUUACUGGGCGUAAAGCGCACGCAGGCGGUCUGUCAAGUCGGAUGUGAAAUCCCCGGGCUCAACCUGGGAACUGCAUUCGAAACUGGCAGGCUAGAGUCUUGUAGAGGGGGGUAGAAUUCCAGGUGUAGCGGUGAAAUGCGUAGAGAUCUGGAGGAAUACCGGUGGCGAAGGUGGCCCCCUGGACAAAGACUGACGCUCAGGUGCGAAAGCGUGGGGAGCAAACAGG